rnacentral:misc_RNA from 1 species
GAGAGAGAGAGAGAGAGAGAGGGACAGAAACAGAGAGAAUAUCUAGCUUGGCAGCAUUUGUAUUUGUGAUAACUUUUCUGUAGCUCUAUGAACUAUAAAUGUCAUGGUAUUGAUCUAGUGUCAAAACUGAAAUUUGAAUUUGCAACCACAAUGGGAAAAACAACAUUGGAUAGAUAAAAAAAAAAUCAUAAAAUUAAUGUGUAUUCAUGUUGUAUAACAAACUACAAACCCAUUUGGAAUUGACGUUAAAACCUAUAUUUUUGGAAAAACACCCUUUUAGAUGUUGGAAAAAAGUAGUUUGACAGUAAUGAUUAACUAUUUUGGAGUUCUUCUGGCUAAAAUCUAGAUUUAAUCACAAAGGAAACCAAUACCAACAAAACCAAUUUCAUCACUUAGCAGUUGAAUGUAAUUGAAUGUAAUCAAAUGAAAAUCAAAUUGAAAAAUGAACAGAAACUAAAUUCCACUAUACCCCAUUAUGGCCUAAUUAACAGCAUAGGAACAACCACUUAACAGAUUAUAACUCUUAUGGAAGUCAAGAAGUUUCUUGUUAGAAUACCAAUGGGAAUUUUGUGGUUCUUGUUCUUAUGUAUGCAUUGUGGAUUAACUCACUUACAGGAAAAUAACAGUAGAUUACUUGGGUUUACCAGUUCAAAACCUAGCUGGACCCAAAUAGGAAAAAAUUCAAUUCCAGUACUAACAUUUGAUUCACAACAAUCUAUAAGGAUCCAAACAGCUUCAUUAAUUUAGAAAUGCAUUAUUAAUUUCAUCUCUCUGCAGUUUAACAUCCCAUUGGCCACAAGGUUUACAUGACAAAUUGCAAUCUUUUCAAACAAACAGUCAACAUCUCCAACAUGAAUAGCUAAUAAUCAGUGUUGCCGCACCUAAAAGCAUUUAAGCAAACGUAGAAGCUGUUUUCAGAAAUUUAAAAAAUGCACAAAGAUGCCCACAAGCUUAUUUGUAUAUCACUCACGGCAUGCCUCUUCCAUACAAACUUCCCUUAAAACUUGUAACCUUUAGUAUGUGUUUUGGUAGAAGGUUAAAAAAUUAAGGAUUAAAAUGUUACCGUUAUAAGUUUUUACCUUAGAGAGAGUAACUAUUAAUCUAAACCCCAAGGUUAACAUUUAAUUUUGAAAAGUUAAUCUAUUCUCUUUAAAACAUCCAAAGGUAAUAUUUACCCUCUUGUUAACCUCAUACUAAACACUUCUUAAGCAUUAAAAUUAUCCUGACCAUAUCCAAAUACGAUUAAGGGCCUUGAGCUAAUGAAAACAAGUGUAUUACCCAUUCAUUAUAACUCUUUAAAAGUAACGAAGUGUAACUCACGCAUUACAUAUAAUUUCCUGCA